CACAAGCAGCGGAGCGUUGGUGGUUUAAUUCGAGGCUACACGAAGAACCUUACCAGGGUUUGACAUGCAAGUGGUAGGAAUCCGAAAGGUGACCGACCCUUCGGGGAGCUUGCACAGGUGCUGCAUGGCUGUCGUCAGCUCGUGUCGUGAGAUGUUCGGUUAAGUCCGCUAACGAGCGCAACCCUCGUCGUGUGUUAUACGUGUCACACGAUACUGCCGGUAUCAAGCCGGAGGAAGGUGGGGAUGAUGUCAAGUCAGCAUGGCCUUUAUAUCCUGGGCUACACACACGCUACAAUGGCAGAUACAAUAGGUUGCGAAACCGCGAGGUGGAGCCAAUCCUCAAAGUCUGUCUCAGUUCAGAUUGUAGGCUGCAACUCGCCUGCAUGAAGUUGGAGUUGCUAGUAAACGCAGGUCAGCUAUACUGCGUUGAAUACGUUCCCGGGGUUU
rnacentral:rRNA from 1 species